rnacentral:rRNA from 1 species
UACGAAGGGGGCUAGCGUUGCUCGGAAUGACUGGGCGUAAAGGGCGCGUAGGCGGAUGGCACAGUCAGAUGUGAAAUUCCCGGGCUUAACCUGGGGGCUGCAUUUGAUACGUGUUGUCUAGAGUGAGGAAGAGGGUUGUGGAAUUCCCAGUGUAGAGGUGAAAUUCGUAGAUAUUGGGAAGAACACCGGUGGCGAAGGCGGCAACCUGGUCCCUGACUGACGCUGAGGCGCGAAAGCGUGGGGAGCGAACAGG